GCCCCCCGCCAGCCUGUCGUGAGUCAGAUCCCUUUCCCAGACUCUGGGUCUUAUGGAUGUCCUGUGGAGAGCCGUUGGGACGUAUCCAGUGCUCCAAGGGUGGACUUGCUUCCUGGUGGGUUUUGAAGGAGCCUCCAAGAGCUCUGCCUAGCAACCAGGAAGGGUUUUGCCCCAGCUGGACUCCGCAGCUCCAAAUGGAACCCAGGUGCAGCCUCUAAUCUGGGAAGGUCACCCAACCCAGCAGGUGUCACAUGGGCAACCUCAGAAACCCCCUAAGCCUGGCCCCCUGGACCAGCCCUUCCACAACUCUGCCCAGGACAGCAGGUGCCUGCUGGAUCUGGGCUUGGAAGUGUGAGAGGGGGGAGGUAAGCAUGGUUGUGCUCCAGAGAAGCAGCUGCUACUUUUAAACCUACUAUCCAUGGUGGUCUUUGAGGUUGCCUCUUGGCCUCAGAGAAUCCCAGUAGAAGUUUGGAAAUAGCCUCUCUACCUGGAGCCAACUGACUUCUGGAACUGGCUUUGGAUGACAGCUGGGGUAUAGGUUCCAAUGUCUCACCUAAUAGCUUGUGUUUAUAAGCUGCUGUUGGGUGUAUGCUGGGUGGAGUCUUUUUGUUGUUUUUAAUACUGUAUUUUUGUAUGCCUUUUGCAAAGUGGUGUUAACUGUUUUUGUAUGAGAAAAAACACUCUUGGGCAAUUCUGUUGCAAGGGUCUGAUUUAUUUUGAAAGGCAGAUUCACCUGAAAUUUUGUAUUUAGUUGUGAUUAUUGAUUGCCUGAUUUUAAAAUGUUGCCUUCCGGGACAUCUUCUAAUAAAAGAUUUCUCAAACAUG